rnacentral:rRNA from 1 species
UACGAAGGGGGCUAGCGUUGCUCGGAAUGACUGGGCGUAAAGGGCGCGUAGGCGGAUGGCACAGUCAGAUGUGAAAUUCCCGGGCUUAACCUGGGGGCUGCAUUUGAUACGUGUUGUCUCGAGUGAGGAAGAGGGUCGUGGAAUUCCCAGUGUAGAGGUGAAAUUCGUAGAUAUUGGGAAGAACACCGGUGGCGAAGGCGGCGACCUGGUCCGAUACUGACGCUGAGGCGCGAAAGCGUGGGGAGCAAACAGG